rnacentral:lncRNA from 1 species
CGUGUUUAACCAACCAACAUGUUUAGUCAAUGUGUUUAACCAACCAACAUGUUUAACCAACCAACAAACCAAUCAAUUAAUCAAUCAAUCUAUUCCAUUAAUUAAUGCAUGUUUCCGUUUCAUGUGUUUAAUACGGAAUCCAAGGUCUCUUUUUUUCGCCUGUUUCAAGAGACCCAAUAUCAAGUGUUUAACUAAUAAACCAACCAACCAACCAACCAAC